rnacentral:rRNA from 1 species
CAGCCGCCGCGGGAAUACGUAGGGUGCAAGCGUUAAUCGGAAUUACUGGGCGUAAAGCGCACGCAGGCGGUCUGUCAAGUCAGAUGUGAAAUCCCCGGGCUUAACCUGGGAACUGCAUUUGAAACUGGCAGGCUGGAGUCUUGUAGAGGGGGGUAGAAUUCCAGGUGUAGCGGUGAAAUGCGUAGAGAUCUGGAGGAAUACCGGUGGCGAAGGCGGCCCCCUGGACAAAGACUGACGCUCAGGUGCGAAAGCGUGGGGAGCAAACAGGAUUAGAUACCCCUGUAGUCCCUGUCUCUUAUAC